rnacentral:rRNA from 1 species
GGCUCAGAACGAACGCUGGCGGCGUGCUUAACACAUGCAAGUCGAACGCGAAAGGGACUUCGGUCCUGAGUAAAGUGGCGCACGGGUGAGUAACGCGUAGAUAACCUGUCUUCAUGUCUGGAAUAAUACGCCGAAAGGGGUACUAAUACCGGAUAUUCUUGCUUUUCAUAAGUUAUGCAAGCAAAGGUGGCCUCUGCAUAUGCUACUGCAUGAAGAGGGGUCUGCGUACCAUUAGCUAGUAGGUGGGGUAAUGGCCUACCUAGGCGACGAUGGUUAGCGGGUCUGAGAGGAUGAUCCGCCACACUGGCACUGGAACACGGGCCAGACUCCUACGGGAGGCAGCAGUGAGGAAUAUUGCGCAAUGGGGGAAACCCUGACGCAGCGACGCCGCGUGAAGUGAGGAAGGCCUUCGGGUCGUAAAGCUCUGUCAAGAGGAAAGAAGUGUACAAUGGCUAAUACCUGUUGUAUUUGACGGUACCUCUAAAGGAAGCACCGGCUAACUCCGUGCCAGCCGCCGC